CUUGGUGAGGACGUUUACCUUUAUUUCAGGGGUGAAGAGCAGCCUGUGUGCUAAUGUCAGUUUUGUUUAAAGAAAAUAUCCUUUUAGGCUUAUUAGCAGUGGAAUAAGUCCAUCUUAAAAGAAAGCUUUGCUUUUAACAGUAGACAGUAUGUAAUAUAUAUGAGGACCGGGAAGUGACUAGGAACUGCUGCACCACUACCAGUUCACCCAAACCCUGGAGCAGUUUACCUUUGCCCUGAACACCCUGCACUUCAGCAUGGGCACUUGUCACCACACCAGGGAAGUGCCCCCAGAACCGAGAGGGACUCGUUCUUUUGGGACUUUUUGUUUAACAUUUCAGUUCUUUUGGCCUGUGAGCCCAUUUUGAAUAAAAUACACCCCGACUACCAUUGCUGGUAUCGGGGCUAUUUGUACCAAA